rnacentral:rRNA from 1 species
UACGGAGGGUGCAAGCGUUGUCCGGAUUUAUUGGGUUUAAAGGGUGCGUAGGCGGCUUAUUAAGUCAGGGGUGAAGACUAUUGCUUAACAAUGGCAGUGCCUUUGAUACUGAUAGGCUUGAGUACAGCUGAGGCAGAUGGAACGGGUGGUGUAGCGGUGAAAUGCAUAGAUACCAUCCAGAACACCGAUUGCGAAGGCAGUCUGCUAAACUGUAACUGACGCUGAGGCACGAAAGCGUGGGGAUCGAACAGG